GAACGCCAGAUCGCGCCCUCGCCCUCCUCCCCAGCCCGCGCCGCGGGUCCUCCGCCGCGGAAACGCGGCCAGGAAGCGCAUGCACAAUGAUGGGGGGGCUGCUGGUGUGGUUUUUUUCCUGGCUGGGCUUUCUAAGUUCAAAUGUCUCGUUUUCAGGAUUUUGUGAGCCCGCGGAUCGCCCCGCUUUGCCUCCGUGACGACUGCGCGGCGUCCUGCCACCGAGGCUGUCGGUGGGAUUCCCGUGCGCUCCGGCUGCUGAGGCAAAUGGGGGGGAUCCCGCCUUAAUAUCCGAUUUCGUGUUUCUCUUUCAGUGAUCCCGGUGACAGAAUGACACAGUUUCUGUAAGCCCGUGACUGCAUCAGAAGCUCUUCCACUUUUGAUUUGUUUAAAUCAGCCAUGUUUGCCGAGUGUUUAAGGCUGGGCUGGGAAAGAUAGUGCUGUGCCUUGCUCAAGGGUGUAGGAGAGGCCAGGCAGGCAAAUUACUCAAAACAACUUCGGCUCAUGCAAAUAAGCCGAGAAUUCAUUUCACUGGGAGGAAAACAAAAAACCCCGAAGCCUGCCUUCUCCCGACCGCGAUCCCCAAAGUUGCCUGCUCCCCGCCUGCCCCCGCGGCCACGCCGGUGCCCGUGCUCGCCAGGAGGGGCUCUGCACAGCCCGCUUUUACUCUCGCUGCAGUCGGUGGCUGUUUUUGCGAACACCGACAUCGCUGCCCACGUCCAAAGACUAACAAACUCUCACUGCGGGGACGCCGUUCGGCAGGGACCCGGCGGGCUGCUUCGCGGGCGGCAAGCGGCGUCGCGUCACUGGCGCACACCCGGGCUCACGGGUGCCCGCGGAGGCAGCGCGCAACGGGGGGAAGGCUCGCACGCUCGGUGAAUGCGGAGCCUCUCCCAGCUGGGCUGUGUUGGAUGGAUUUCUUUCUUUCAGUACCUCUUCCUGACUCCUUUGUUGCUAGAAACGCCGAAAACCCCGUCCAUUACAGGUUUCCCUCUGUGCUUUAAAGGGACUUGGGGUUUCUAUGGCGUGGUGCCACGGCUCCCUAACACACACACGCCCAGCAGCGAUGCAGCACCGAGCAGGAAAGAUACCUUGUAUUCGGUUAAUAAUGUCUCAAAAUUCACACGACAAAAAGCUGUUGCUUUAAAUAAUUCGUUUCAUAUUGCCAAUGUGUCUCAUUUUCAUUUUUAGUUGUCUAAAACGUUUUAUACGUGUCUGGUUAUAAUCUAUAAAGCUGGCAAACGAA